rnacentral:rRNA from 1 species
GACGAACGCUGGCGGCGUGCUUAACACAUGCAAGUCGAACGGAAAGGCCCUGCUUUUGUGGGGUGCUCGAGUGGCGAACGGGUGAGUAACACGUGAGUAACCUGCCCUUGACUUUGGGAUAACUUCAGGAAACUGGGGCUAAUACCGGAUAGGAGCUCCUGCUGCAUGGUGGGGGUUGGAAAGUUUCGGCGGUUGGGGAUGGACUCGCGGCUUAUCGGCUUGUUGGUGGGGUAGUGGCUUACCAAGGCUUUGACGGGUAGCCGGCCUGAGAGGGUGACCGGCCACAUUGGGACUGAGAUACGGCCCAGACUCCUACGGGAGGCAGCGGUGGGGAAUAUUGCACAAUGGGCGGAAGCCUGAUGCAGCAACGCCGCGUGCGGGAUGACGGCCUUCGGGUUGUAAACCGCUUUCGCCUGUGACGAAGCGUGAGUGACGGUAAUGGGUAAAGAAGCACCGGCUAACUACGUG